rnacentral:rRNA from 1 species
GGGUGCGAUCAUACCAGCACUAAUGCACCGGAUCCCAUCAGAACUUCGCAGUUAAACGUGUUUGGAAGAUAUGUAGUAAUUUAUACAUACCAGCUCUGAGAGCAAAUUUUUAGUAUGUAUCCA